AGCUCAAAAGACAUUAUUCUGACUUGCUAACCUUAAUGAGUGUCAUUCAAAGCCCUAAAUUCUUUAAGCUACUCUCAUGGAUUGCAAUUGUAGCAACAACAGUUGUUGAACUUGUUCCUCUAAAUAGGCAUGGCCGAGUAUCCACAGUAAGAAGUAGGCCUUCCGAAAGAGCCAUUAAGGAUCUUCCGUCUUCAGGAAAUUUAGGAAACAGCGACAUAACAAAACUCCUUGACGACCUAGACAAUCAAACGGAAGCCAUCAGGAGUGGUCAAGAGAUCGGUGAAGAACUUCUAGGCGGAAAAAACCAAACAGGAUUGAGAGAAAAUGAACUGGAAAGAUCUAAUGGUACUAUCCUUGAAUAUUCUUAUGAUGAGAGCAAAGGAGACAGCUUUCCAGGAGAAGUAAAAGAUAACUCCUCGCAGGCUGUGAGUACAGCAGGAGCUCCGGUGCUGGUCGAUAGAGACGGAGUUCCAGAGAAAACAACAGCCCUUGAGAACGGAGCUUCCUAUUUGGCCGGCAAGCCCCUGUUGAUAUUCAAUAACAAAAGUAAAGACCUAGAUGUUAGCAAGUGGUUUCUGUACUAUCCACUCACGACGGAAACUGAUGAGCAAAGAGCAUAAUCAUUAAGCGUUACUGAUAACCGUCUAUAUCUAGUUGGGUUUUUUCGUUCGGUAUCUGCGAGAGCUAUUCUUCUGAAAUCGCGGUUGCACUAAGGUUCUUUCUUUAUUUUUAAAUCCCUCCGGUUGGUUGAUUGUCUCAUGGAAAAUUGAAUUGUGGAUCAAAUACAUGGGGUCUCAGCGCUCGUUUAGAGGUACCGCACCUCGAGGAUAUCCAUAUUCCUCCAUACCCCGACCAUUCAAACAUAGAACAAGUGAAAUCAUUCGUAAAAAAAGCAGCUAACUAUUAAUCAGUUUUAAUUUUGUUUUAAGAGUAGUUUAGUAACAAAGUGCACAUGGGAAGAGUCUCAAGUGAAGGAUUGCCAAGCGCCAGAGGGUCAAGGUGUCAAAUUAAGAUUUAGGAGACUCACGCUGUGGAAAGCUCUGAUAAGACACUAUUCCCGAUCAUCGACGAUUUUCCUAAACUGAGGAUCAAGUGACAGUGACUGUGAUCAUGUAGGAUGAUGGAAGGAAUAUGAAGGGAACAGAUUCCGACGUCAUGAUAUUCCGGAGGGAAAGACAUCUAGGGUUUACCUUGGAAUUUCUAAUAAAAAAUUAAACACCCUGUUACAAAGUUGUUGGAUGCAAAGGAUUGCAUGAGAUGGUACUUACCGUUCUUUUUAUGAAGUCUUCAGAUUCAUAAAAUAUCUUAUUUAGAGGUCAGAACAGAAAUAUCCAUGAAAACAAGUCACAUAUGGCCAAACGGAUGUGCCAUCUUACAAAGAAUCAAGAGACUCUCAGGAGAUAACGAGUAGUUCACAAAAAGCUGAUGUGAAUGCAUUGUGUGAAUCCAAAUUAUUCAUCUAAUAUACUAAGGUAUGGGAAAGAGAGUAUUUAGAAUUGGUAUCAUGUCACAGAUAGGUAUUUCAGUGCCCAUUUUAUUGGGAAAUAAUCAAAAUAGGCGUCUCUGGGGUCGAAUCAUUAUCACAUUAGCGGGCACUUUUCGAACAGUUGGGGCAAUUUUAGA
rnacentral:misc_RNA from 1 species